UACGGGGGGGGCAAGCGUUGUUCGGAAUUACUGGGCGUAAAGGGCUCGUAGGCUGCCAACUAAGUCGGACGUGAAAUCCCUCGGCUUAACCGGGGAACUGCGUCUGAUACUGGAUGGCUUGAGUUUGGGAGAGGGAUGCGGAAUUCCAGGUGUAGCGGUGAAAUGCGUAGAUAUCUGGAGGAACACCGGUGGCGAAGGCGGCAUCCUGGACCAAUUCUGACGCUGAGGAGCGAAAGCCAGGGGAGCAAACGGG
rnacentral:rRNA from 1 species